rnacentral:rRNA from 1 species
CACGUAGGGGGCGAGCGUUGUCCGGAAUUACUGGGCGUAAAGGGCGCGCAGGCUGUUAUGCGAGUCUGCUGUGAAAUGUACCGGCUCAACCGGUGCCUUGCGGCGGAUACUGCAUAGCUGGAGUACUGGAGAGGGAAGUGGAAUUCCCGGUGUAGCGGUGAAAUGCGUAGAUAUCAGGAGGAACACCGGCGGCGAAGACGGCUUGCUGGACGGCAACUGACGUUGAGGCUCGAAAGCGUGGGGAGCAAACAGGAUUAGAUACCCU